rnacentral:lncRNA from 1 species
AAAUAUUUAAAGAGACUAAUAUUAAUACUCAUUUUUUUAUUCAUUUCCUUCAAAAUAUUGAUUUUUGAAGUGAUAGCAACACAUUUAUAAUCAAGGAGGAAAUCAAAUUGAUAGGGAACUUAAUUAUAUAAAAUACAAUGUUUAUCCACAAACAAAGCAUAUCAUGAAUUUGAAUCCUGCAUGCCCAUAUGAGUAUCCUACACCCCUCAUUUUAGUUUGAAAAUAUUAAACUAUCCUUAACGAGUUAGUAUCUCCUUCCUCAACCCUAACACCUCUCUUAUUCAAAAACCAUUCAAUCUGCGACAGUAGCUCCUGCCAUGGGUCCUCUCCCUCCCAUGACAACUCAUGUUCUUCCUAUGACGACUUUGUUCACUCUUUGACAAAUGCGAAGCAUCAUUACAUUAUCCAAAUGACCUGCAACAUACAGAAGUGCCUAGAUAGGCUUUGGGAUGCUUUAGUUUUUAAAGAGAAUGUAGCAUUGCCAUAUGUCUCCUCCCCCUCCCCGCCCCCCCUCCCCCAAAAUGGUUUUAAAUUCUUAAGCUUGUAUAUAUGAUUUACUAUUUAUUUUCGAUUGUAACAUGUUCAGGUAGUUUGCGCAGGUUCAAUUUUCCUGUAUCUCCUUUAAUUCUUUCAUGAGACUUGUUCAAAUUCAGAAAGGUAGUUUUUGUUUUGUAAAAAGCAUAAAAAGUUUCUUAGAUUCUAUUCUAGCAAGUUGUGGCUAAGUUUCAAUGAGUUGUGAUCGAGUUCCUGGUCUUCAUAGAAUCUUUGAUCUCCUACUCCAGUGUCGGGGGAGGUACUUACAAAAAAGACUCUAACGAUCAAGUCAGUUGAGCCCAAGGUGUUCGUGUAUUUGUGUAUGGGGUGAUAAAAAAUGUAUCUUGUUGUGUUUUCUUUGGGUCUAUAUGUACACGUUCAACCUUGAGAAGAUUACAUUGACUAAUUGAUUCUUUAGGCGUCGUGCGUGAUCGUGGAGAACUAGUGGUCGUCACUAGUUGUUAACUCCUUGGCAAGUGUAUCAAUUUAUCAUAGUAAUACUAAAUAGUAAGAUCGAGUAUUGAGUUCACAUGAAUUUUGAUUGUGCUCAAAGUUUGUAUAUACCGAAUUCUAAGCAAAGGAAUGACUAAAAACAAGUAUAUUCAAAGUAAUAGUGCAAAAAUGUAAAAUUCAACAAUAAUAAAGGACGAGA